rnacentral:misc_RNA from 1 species
AAGACGAGGGUUUUAUGUCAUUGUGGAGGGGAAACCAGGCCAAUGUUAUAAGAUAUUUCCCAACUCAGGCUUCCAACUUUGCUUUCAAAGGUUACUACAAGAACCUCUUUGGAUAUUCAAAAGAUAAAGAUGGAUAUGUGAAGUGGUUUGCAGGCAAUGUGGCUUCCGGUAGUGCUGCUGGAGCAACGACAUCCAUGCUCCUUUAUCACUUGGACUAUGCAAGGACUCGGCUGGCGAUGGAUGCUCAGGAUUGUCCACUUAAUGGUAAACG